UACGGAGGAUGCGAGCGUUAUCCGGAUUUAUUGAGCGUAAAGCGAGCGCAGGUGGUUUAUUAAGUCUGGUGUAAAAGGCAGUGGCUCAACCAUUGUAUGCAUUGGAAACUGGUAGACUUGAGUGCAGGAGAGGAGAGUGGAAUUCCAUGUGUAGCGGUGAAAUGCGUAGAUAUAUGGAGGAACACCGGUGGCGAAAGCGGCUCUCUGGCCUGUAACUGACACUGAGGCUCGAAAGCGUGGGGAGCAAACAGG
rnacentral:rRNA from 1 species